rnacentral:rRNA from 1 species
GACGAACCGUGCGAACGUUGUUCGGAAUCACUGGGCUUAAAGGGCGCGUAGGCGGGCUCGCAAGUCCGGGGUGAAAGCCCCCAGCUCAACUGGGGAAGUGCCUUGGAUACUGCGGGCCUCGAGGGAGGUAGGGGCGUGCGGAACUUCCGGUGGAGCGGUGAAAUGCGUAGAUAUCGGAAGGAACACCGGUGGCGAAGGCGGCUUCCUGGACACUAACUGACGCUGAGACGCGAAAGCGUGGGGAGCAAACAGG